UACGGAGGAUGCAAGCGUUAUCCGGAAUCAUUGGGCGUAAAGCGUCCGUAGGUGGUCAUGCAAGUCUAUUGUCAAAGCACAAGGCUUAACCUUGUAAAGGCAGUGGAAACUGCAUUACCUCGAGUGCAGUAGGGGUAGAGGGAAUUCCCGGUGUAGCGGUGAAAUGCGUAGAGAUCGGGAAGAACACCAGUGGCGAAAGCGCUCUGCUGGACUGCAACUGACACUGAGGGACGAAAGCUAGGGGAGCGAAAGGG
rnacentral:rRNA from 1 species